rnacentral:rRNA from 1 species
AGAGUUUGAUCCUGGCUCAGGACGAACGCUGGCGGCGUGCCUAACACAUGCAAGUCGAGCGAUGAAAUCCCUUCGGGGAUGGAUUAGCGGCGGACGGGUGAGUAACACGUGGGUAACCUGCCUCAAAGAGGGGGAUAGCCUCCCGAAAGGGAGAUUAAUACCGCAUAACAUUAGUUUUUCGCAUGAAGAACUAAUUAAAGGAGUAAUCCACUUUGAGAUGGACCCGCGGCGCAUUAGCUAGUUGGUGAGGUAACGGCUCACCAAGGCGACGAUGCGUAGCCGACCUGAGAGGGUGAUCGGCCACAUUGGAACUGAGACACGGUCCAGACUCCUACGGGAGGCAGCAGUGGGGAAUAUUGCACAAUGGGCGAAAGCCUGAUGCAGCAACGCCGCGUGAGUGAUGAAGGCCGGUUGUAAAGCUCUGUCUUUGGGGACGAUAAUGACGGUACCCAAGGAGGAAGCCACGGCUAACUACGUGCCAGCAGCCGCGGUAAUACGUAGGUGGCAAGCGUUGUCCGGAUUUACUGGGCGUAAAGGAUGCGUAGGCGGAUAUUUAAGUGAGAUGUGAAAUUCCCGGGCUUAACUUGGGAGCUGCAUUUCAAACUGGAUAUCUAGAGUGCGGGAGAGGAGAAUGGAAUUCCUAGUGUAGCGGUGAAAUGCGUAGAGAUUAGGAAGAACACCAGUGGCGAAGGCGAUUCUCUGGACCGUAACUGACGCUGAGGCAUGAAAGCGUGGGGUAGCAAACAGGAUUAGAUACCCUGGUAGUCCACGCCGUAAACGAUGAGUACUAGGUGUAGGAGGUAUCGACUCCUUCUGUGCCGCAGUUAACACAAUAAGUACCCCGCCUGGGAAGUACGAUCGCAAGAUUAAAACUCAAAGGAAUUGACGGAAUCUAAUUGACGGAAUCGU